CCUACGGGAGGCUGCAGUGAGGAAUAUUGGUCAAUGGGCGCGAGCCUGAACCAGCCAAGUCGCGUGAGGGAGGACGGCCCUACGGGUUGUAAACCUCUUUUGCCGGGGAGCAACGGGCGUCACGUGUGGCGCCACUGAGAGUACCCGGAGAAAAAGCAUCGGCUAACUCCGUGCCAGCAGCCGCGGUAAUACGGAGGAUGCGAGCGUUAUCCGGAUUUAUUGGGUUUAAAGGGUGCGUAGGCGGGCAUUUAAGCCGGCGGUCAAAUGUCGGGGCUCAACCCCGGCCUGCCGUCGGAACUGGGUGCCUUGAGUGGGCGAGAAGUAUGCGGAAUGCGUGGUGUAGCGGUGAAAUGCAUAGAUAUCACGCAGAACCCCGAUUGCGAAGGCAGCAUACCGGCGCCCUACUGACGCUGAGGCACGAAAGUGCGGGUAUCGAACAGGAUUAGAUACCCUUGUAGUC
rnacentral:rRNA from 1 species